rnacentral:lncRNA from 1 species
CCUUUGGAACAGCGACAGCAUAAGAGGUGGCUCUUCUGGGUUCAAGAGAGAAAGGUAAAGCACCCACAUGAAGACUAAGUUGAACAUCUGGUACAUAUGUGAGUGCAUGCUUAGAUACAGCCCAUAGACGUCCUUUGGUUGGUGGUUCAGACUCUGAGAGCCCCAAGGCUCCAGAUUAUGGUCCACCGUUCAGGGAACUGAUGUCAGAAACUCAAGGCAGAAGUUGAGGCCAUGAAGAAACACAGCUUUUCUAGGUCCUCCUGACUUCUUUCUUAUAUAAUCUGGGAGUAUUUGUCCAGUAGUGUCACCACUCACAAAGGGCCGAGUUUUCACACAUCAAUCACUAUUUUUUUAAAUCCCCAUAGUCUUGUCUACAGGUCCCAAUCUUAUGAAAGCAUUGUCUUAAUUAACAUUCAUUUCUCCCUGACAUGUCUAGGAUUAUGUCAAGUUGACAAAAAAGGAGGGAAAAACCCUCAGUAAUUUUGCAUUUUCCCUUUACAAGUUUUUGUACAUUUGCCAUGGGGAGGAUUUAGUAAGGUCAUGACUGCAACAAGUGCCUCGUGUAUUUGAAAGUCUUUCUUUUUUGAGAUUUGGGAAAUGUUCUUCUACAACGGAAUUAAAGUCUCAAUUUUCUCUG